GCCGUAGAUACCUCGUGUGAGCUGUACAUUCAAUCAAUAUGCUCACCGGGUGUUUCUGCGACCU
rnacentral:pre_miRNA from 1 species